AACGAACGCUGGCGGCACGCCUAACACAUGCAAGUCGAGCGCAGUCCUUCGGGACCGAGCGGCGGACGGGUUAGUAACGCGUGGGAACAUACCCUUCUCUACGGAAUAGCCUCGGGAAACUGAGAGUAAUACCGUAUAAGCCCUUCGGGGGAAAGAUUUAUCGGUGAAGGAUUGGCCCGCGUAAGAUUAGAUAGUUGGUGGGGUAAUGGCCUACCAAGUCUACGAUCUUUAGCUGGUUUGAGAGGAUGAUCAGCAACACUGGGACUGAGACACGGCCCAGACUCCUACGGGAGGCAGCAGUGGGGAAUCUUAGACAAUGGGGGAAACCCUGAUCUAGCGAUGCCGCGUGUGUGACGAAGGCCUUAGGGUCGUAAAGCACUUUCGCCAAGGAUGAUAAUGACAGUACUUGGUAAAGAAACCCCGGCUAACUCCGUGCCAGCAGCCGCGGUAAUACGGAGGGGGUUAGCGUUGUUCGGAAUUACUGGGCGUAAAGCGCACGUAGGCGGACUUUUAAGUUAGAGGUGAAAUCCCAGGGCUCAACCCUGGAACUGCCUUUAAUACUGGAAGUCUUGAGUUCGAGAGAGGUAAGUGGAAUUCCAAGUGUAGAGGUGAAAUUCGUAGAUAUUUGGAGGAACACCAGUGGCGAAGGCGGCUUACUGGCUCG
rnacentral:rRNA from 1 species